CCCUUAGAUGUUCUGGGCGGCCCGCGCACUACAUUGGCACUGGCAACAAGAUCCUAGAUCUGGUAUUUCGGGGUAUUCUACCAACUGGUGUCGUGACUGGGAUUAACCCCUGCAAUUAUUGGUUAUGAACGAGGAAUUCCUUGUAAUCACGGUUUAUCAACCCGUGUUGAAUGCGUCCCUGCCCUUUGUACACACCGCCCGUCGCUCCUACCGAUGAAUCGUCCGGUGAAGUUCAUGGAGUCGCGGCUGCUCCAGCUGUUUUCGAAGUGAAAUGGACCUCAUGAUUUAGAGGAAGGAGANGUCGUNACA
rnacentral:rRNA from 1 species